rnacentral:lncRNA from 1 species
UUUGCAUUCAGUUCAUUUGACCAUGAUUGUUGAAUUCCUCACCACUGCACAAUGUUCUUUACAAGUUACAAACAACUUCUACAAAUUAAAUGAAUAUAUUUUAAACUGUAAAGACAUUUUGUUAAGAAAGUCAUGCUUUUGAAUGAAAAAUAUUACACUCUUAAUAUAAAUCUUUGCGUUCUAUGUGCUGAGGUAACUAGCUAGGCCAUCUUUAUUUCACAUUUCAGCUUUUUUAAAAAGUAUUUUUAAUUUUACAGAUCAACUUUUGAUCAACAACUGAGGAACAUCUGGCAUAUUGCUAUGUCCUUAAACAAAAAAUGAUUUCUCAAGGCAUGCCUACAUACCACAUGUUGGAAGAGUUUGUGGAAUGGCUGAAGGAUGAAAGAAUUUCCAGAAAAAUAAAAUUCUUCAUGAAUUUGUGAAUGGAAAUGAAACCCAAGGAACUAAUAUAUUUGCUUACCAUCCAGUUGAAAGUAUGCCAAUGGAAUAAAGUGCAACUGUCACAGAAGUGCACAAAAUAAGGCCAUGCUUUCUGCAAAAGUUCACCAAGCUGAUUCAAACUACAAAUGAGAGUCAGUCAAGAAAAAUGUAAAACUAACUGAACUGUCACAGUUCAACUGUAAGAAAUGUUUGGUAAUAGUAUGUUUUGUUGCCAGAACAGCAGUGAAGUGGUUAGAGUAAAACUGUCUUAAUUGUUUAAGCAAUACAGGAUAUUUUAUUUAAAACUUACUCUAUGCAUAAAAUAUCUUGAGUGCUGUUUUUCAUUUAAAUGAUCAUAAAGUUACAAGAAAUUUGACAAUAAAUGCAACUUUUAUUUUUAUAAGAAAAUAGUGCAUUGUUGCCAUGGUAUUAAACAUAAAUCUGACUAUAAAUUAUUGUAAAACAUCUUUCAUGUUUAUAUGUUCUAUUUGUUAAAAAAUUAAUGUAUGGUCAUAUUCUUUUCUAAGUAAUAACUGCAUCAACAAAACAUUAUGUUAUCAUAUGAAUCUGCCUUAAACUAGCAAGAGUUGUAACUGUGCCGCGUGUAUCAGAAAAUUAUGUAUAUCCCAUACAGUGUCACAUCAGUAUACAUGAAAUGAGGUUUUCUUACUUUUGAAUAUGAAAGUAGACAGCUUUCGAUGUAAAUAGUAUUUUGAAAAACACUUUAACAUAUUCAAUUUUUUUCAAGAACUUGAUAGAUACUUUUGGUAAAAAAAUACAUCAUUGUUGCCAUGGUAACGAGUCACUGAUCAGUAUGACAUCUGUACUACUACUUUAAGCAAAAUCAGUUAUAAUAUUUCUAAUAAUUAUUUCUUUUUGCCUAAUUUUCUGUCUAACAGUUACAAAGAAAUAUGCCAAUAAGUCAAGUAUUCUAACAACAAGGUUAAUGUCCUAGUUCUGUCAUGUUAUCUAACUCGAUAUCCAGUAAAGCUAUUCUUGUACAAAAGAAAGCCAUAAGAUUUUUGCAAAAAACUGUUAUCUUUAAAAUCUGUUUGUACACUAGAAAAUGUUGACAGUAUAUUAACUAUACUUUCUAGAUGUUAAUUUUGGCUGGAUUUACCAAGGAACUGUUAAAAUUGGAUUUAACAACUGUGUUGUCAUGGAAACGAUUUUUAGGGGAAAAUGAUAUAUGCUAAUAUGAAAGAAAGAAACAGAAAGAAAUAAAUUCAAUUAACUACA